UUUUGAAUUAAACGGCUCCAGCUUGUGCAUGUGUACAUGUGACUUCAGCUCACUUGCCGUGACUUUGUUAUUCGCUCAAAGAGUUAUACCUCCUCGGACGCUCUAUGAAACCAAAAACUCCUCACUAUCAUCUGUUCAUGUUGGUUCCUGCGUACCACAAUUAGGAUAUGAAAUCUAUACAACAAAACAGAAAUUUUCAUAUAGCCUUCAAAUGUGAAGAUAAGAUAAAGUUGCUAGAGACAUACCUUACAGGAACUCAGUUAUGUUGCUGUCAUAAAUAAUAAUGCUUAGCAUGAAGGUGGGAAGCAUCUAUUUCCAUUCCUCCCAUGCCUGUUUUUAAAUAAAAAUAAGAGCACGUUAGCAAGAAAAGAACCUUUCAAGUUUCAAGGAUGCUGAAUUAAUCGGCAAUGAAAACACACACCCUCAUAUAAGGCUGGUAAUAACUAAUAUGCUCUCAUGAGUAAACACGAGCUAUAGUUACCACACUUGGCAAAGCUUAAGUACCAAAACAAACACAUCCUCCAAAGCUACAUCACUGCAGGCAGAGUAGAGCAGUAUUUGCACACUUGUUU
rnacentral:lncRNA from 1 species